GAACUACCGGGUUUAAACAAAUAUCUGAGAACAAUCGAAGCCCAGUCAAUAAUGCACCGCUCACCAUAUUUGAUUAUGUCACUCCAACAAGCACCUUCACCACUGAAAUCUUCAGAAAGUGUCCGGGUUGCUCUUCAGGGCUCCAGAAAUGAAUUUACUGAUAAUAUUUCCGACGUGGCAGACAGCGCUCGGUUCGGACUGCGUCCCCGCUGCUAAACGCUCCGAGUGGAACGAAAUAAAGGUUCCGCUUAAUGUUUCCCAUCCGCGCCCUGCAUUUCACAUCGAGUCCAGCAGAUGACAGCAAAGCAAGUUAAAUUAAAAACAUAUCGCUCGUCUCUAUUUAUAAACUGUACAAAAAGGUCAUAUGUUCCAGCCUCUCCAGUGUCCAGCCAGGCACUAUGAUCUUCAUCAAGCUCAGCUUUCUGUAUUAAUUUUUACAUCGCCAUAAAGUGCAGUAUUCAGGAGGUUAAGAACCCCAAACCCUCCGAGUCGGUGAGAAUUCUCUCAUUGCUGUGCCUUGAAGAAAUUGGAAGGUUAAUGAACUUUGAGGGGCAGAAGGAACUGAAGGGAGUCAUAAUGGGAGCCUUCGGUUCUCCUAAUGAGGAAGUCAAGUCUGCCGCAUCUCUUGCUUUGGGGGAGUAUCUGCCAUUCAUGCUCAAGGAGAUCAUCAGCCAGCCGAAGAGACAGAAUCUGCUUCUACACUCCCUCAAAGAAAUGAUCAGCACUCUGUCAGCCGACACUCUCAAGCCUCAUGUGGAGAACAUCUGGGCUUUGCUGUUCAAGCGCUGUGAAAGUAAUAUUGUAGCCGAAUGUUUGGGGAAACUCACAUUGGUCAGUCCAUCUGAACUCCUACCAAGGCUAAAAAAAACAACUGUCCUCGGGGUCUCCUUUUUCUCGUAGUGAAGUUGUAACUGCAGUGAAGUUCACCAUCGUAGACCACGCCAUGCCCAUAGACUCACUUCUCAAAGGAUGCAUUGGUGACUUCCUGAAAACACUCCAGGAUCCUGACCUCAAUGUUCGGCGAGUGGCUUUGGUCAUGUUUAAUUCAGCCGCCCACAACAAACCCUCCCUGAUCUGUGGACUUCUGACAUCACUUCUGACUCACACAUCUAUACGAGACACAAAUCAGAAAAGACCUUGUCAGAGAGAUACAAAUUAUGAGCGGUAAAAUCACAAGAAAAUGCUAUAUAAAACAAUUGUUGUGUGUAAAAUAUUGGAAACUGAUGAAAAACAAAAAAAAAAACAGUAAAAAAUUCAAAUUCUUUGUGAAAUUUGACAAACUGAAAUUAUGGAGCGUUUAAUCACGA